rnacentral:rRNA from 1 species
GAUGAACGCUGGCGGCGUGCUUAACACAUGCAAGUCGAACGGAAAGGCCCAAGCUUGCUUGGGUACUCGAGUGGCGAACGGGUGAGUAACACGUGGGUGAUCUGCCCUGCACUUCGGGAUAAGCCUGGGAAACUGGGUCUAAUACCGGAUAGGACCACAUUUUGGAUGGUGUGGUGGAAAGUUUUUCGGUGUGGGAUGAGCUCGCGGCCUAUCAGCUUGUUGGUGGGGUAAUGGCCUACCAAGGCGUCGACGGGUAGCCGGCCUGAGAGGGUGUACGGCCACAUUGGGACUGAGAUACGGCCCAGACUCCUACGGGAGGCAGCAGUGGGGAAUAGUGCACAAUGGGCGCAAGCCUGAUGCAGCGACGCCGCGUGGGGGAUGACGGCCUUCGGGUUGUAAACUCCGUUCGCUAGGGACGAAGCGUUAUGUGACGGUACCUGGAGAAGAAGCACCGGCUAACUACGUG